CUGUUAACUAUAGAAAAUUUAUUUUAAAUCUAAACAUGUGAUUUGCAGAUGCUCUACUGUUACAGUAAAAUCAUCAACACCUUCUGACCAAUCAGAAGAGAGAUUUUAUUUCAAUAUCAUUUACAUAUAUAGCUGCACCAUUACCAUUAUUUUUAACUCUAACACUUACUCAGGUCCUACGGUACAUAGGUACAUGUGUAUAUUUGCACAUAUCUAUUUAUCUAUAAUAGAUAUUCUAAUUAUUAUGGUGACUUAUACUAUUUGUAUUAUUUUUAUCUUACUGUAAUGCUUUAAUGUACCUGUGGGAUAAAUAAAGGGUUAUCUUAUCGUGGUAAUUUUUGUAUCAGACCGGCAUUUUGUCUCUGAUGUGCUUAAUGUCAGAUUACACGACUGGUAUCAAUCUCAGCAUUGUUUCGCUAUCAUACUGUACUUUCUCAGCAGGAGAAAAACAGUUUUUGAGCCCUACGUGGGCCUCCAUGGCACGGUUUCAGGAGCUGUGAGAAAGCCUACCGCAGAGAGAGAAUGCCAGCCAACUUUCUGGAAAAACAAAACCACCUCCAGAGCAGGCCUGAGAGCUGACGGCCGAGCCAGAACCUGACAACCUCAUUUUCUGCGGAAAGAAACCGAGCUUCCUCCCGGCCUGCUGAUGUGGACAGAUUUGAUACAUGGCUUUGUUAUGGUGGUACAGUGAUACAGGCUACUUCAAAAUGGUUAGCAUUUGCUGUCAACAGGAAGCGCGGCUUGUCCUGCCUCAGACCCACCCUUCCAGAUUUUCCUUCCUGUCUGAAACUGCGUGUUCGGGCCAGCGGAGAGCCUGGGCCGUGAUCUCAGGAAGACCUGCAGGAAGAUCAGCAUGUGACCUGAUUUCUAACUCAACAACACUACUACUAACUCAACGCAACUAGUGACUGGUGAGCUACAAUAUUUAAUUCCCAGCCCUACUGCUGUUACACCUCUAAGCGUUUUUUUUUAAAGAGAAUAUUUGUAAAAAUGACAAACCCUG